AGGGUUGGCAUUAGCCCUUGCUGCCUUUUUUCACCAAAGUCCAAAAGGUCGAGUCCUCACUCAGAAGUGCUGCUCUCCUUGAAAGUGUUGUUUGCCCGUGAAGUAGAAGAGCAAAUUGAGAACUACAACCCGAGCAGGUUAAGAAAAAUAGUGCUGUGUUCUAUGAAGUUGAGAAGCAUAUAGUGAUGAAAUACGAAGGUUGCUGGUGCCUUAAGUGGAUGUUCAUAACCAGUAAUGUGGAACGCUAAUGGUAUGCGAAUUACUGUGGAAAUAUCUAAGGCUUAAGCCAUGGAAGUUUUCAACAUUAAGAACUGAACAGGAAGAAUAAAAAUCUUUGAUCCUCGUGAAAUAUAUAUUCCUCCAUAUGUUUGCAGGAUUAUGUUUUGCUGUUUGUCUUAAGUUCCUUAGGCAGAAUAAGCAUCUAGUACUGUUCAGCUGAAGCUAAGUUGCCCUACUGAAUUUAGCUCUGUGCUUUGGCUCAGAGAGUGGAAGGUUCAAGGGAUAAUACAUGAUACAACUAUUCAAUGAAAGGUCAGAAUUUCAAUUCUCUCAUUCUGAAUUUUAAAAUGAGUCUGAAACAUUGCGUGCUGAUCAUCAAGUUCUCUGCUAAAGCAGUGGGGUUGACCUGAACUCAUGCAGCAUAGGGACGAAAAGAGGAAGAUGAGCUUUUGCCUUGGGUUUCUGCAAACUCACACCAUAAGGUCUGGAACACUUCUAGCCUAUUUUCAGUACAGGCUGUUGAAAUUUUGUUUGUAAAGGACUUCUUCAGCCAACCAGACAAAUUUCUGUGGAGGAUGU